GGUUUGUAGCUCAGUGGAAGAGUGCUUGCCUAGCAUAUGUGAGGCACUGGGUUCAAUUCUCAGCACCA
rnacentral:tRNA from 1 species